UGAAGAGGCUCAAGUCCUUGUGUUCUUUUU
rnacentral:piRNA from 1 species